CUAUAUAACGUUGAAACACCAGUUCUCGAACGAUCACCGAAGUUAAGCAACAUUGAGCUUGGUUAUUACCUAGAUGAAUGAUCGCUUGGGAAUAUAAGUGU